AUGGAGCUGGCGAGGACGAGAAUGAAAGCGAGCCCGGUCCUCACGGCGCUGUUCGCGGCGGCGGUCGGGUUCUUCGUCGGCGUUUCUUUUCCUGUGGACAUCACGCCAAAGCUUCAGUGUGGCCUCCUGCCUUGGAGCCGCGGCGGCGAUCCCGCCAACUGCAGCUUCAGUCACAGCAGCACGCUGGGCAGACUGUGGGGGGCGCCGUUCAGGAACAGCAGCACUGGUGCCCCAAAUGCCACCGGUUCAGCACCGGUUGUAGAGGUUGCGGCAGCAAAGCCUGGAGGCUCAGAGAGGCGUCUGCCACCGGGGAUCGUGGUCUCGGAGUCUGAUCUUCACCUGCGCCGGCUCUGGGGAUCCCCGAGAGAGGACAGCGCUGCUGGGAAGUACCUCCUGGCGCUCGCCGUAGGGUACGCUGAGAGAGGCAAUGUCAAUGCAACUGUCCACAAGUUCUCCAAGAACUUCGACAUCGUGCUGUUCCACUACGAUGGCCGCACGACAGAGUGGGACGAGGAGUUCCAGUGGUCGAAGAAGGUUGCCCACGUCAGUGCCAGGAAGCAGACCAAAUGGUGGUUCGCCAAGAGGUUCCUGCACCCGAGCGUGGUGGCGCCCUAUGACUACGUGUUCGUGUGGGACGAGGACCUCGGCGUCGACAACUUCGCCGCGGAACCGUACCUUGACAUCGUGAGGAGGCACGGGCUGGAGAUCUCGCAGCCGGGGCUGGACACGACCAAGGGGUCGGCGCCGAUGUACGACAUCACCGCCAGGAAAACCGGCAGCGAGAUGCACAAGACAGAUGCAGGGGGUGAGCAUUGCUGGGACGUGCACAAGCGGCCGUGCAGCGGGUUCGUCGAGAUGAUGGCGCCGGUCUUCUCGAGGGAUGCGUGGAGAUGCGUGUGGCACAUGAUCCAGAAUGACCUUGUCCAUGGAUGGCCUAUCGACUCCUAUUUCUGGAGAUGCGUCGAUGAUCCCGAAGAGCAGAUUGGCGUCGUAGACGCGCAGUACGUGGUCCACCGUGCAGUCCCGACGCUCCAGGGCGAGGGCGACAAAGAAAAGCCAGGGGGCCGUUUCGAGGUAAGAGCGCGUCAAUUUGAGGAGCUGGAGGCCUUUAACUCUAGGUUUGCCAAUGCGGACAAGGAGCUCGCCAACAGAUCGUCGUCAACACUGAAUUAG
rnacentral:rRNA from 1 species